UGGGCUGGAAUUUGGCCAUUUGGGGGUGAAAUUGGGGAAUUUUCGGGUGAAAUUCAGAAAUUUGGGGAUGAAAUUUGGGGAUUUUGGGAUGAAAUUUGGGGAUUUUGGGGGUGAAAUUUGGGGAUUUUUGGUGGAAUUUGAAGAUUUUGGGGUGAAAUUCAGGGAAUUGGGAUGAAAUGUGGAGAUUUUGAGGUGAAAUGUGGAGAUUUUUGGGGUGACAUUUGGAGAUUUUAGGGUGAAAUUCGGGGAUUUGGGGUGAAAUUUUGGGAUUUUGGGGUGAAAUUUUGGAAUUUUGGGGUGACAUUUUUGGGAUUUUGGGAGAAAUUUGCGGAUUUUAGGUCAAAAUUGGCGGAUUUUGCUCCAAGCACAAAGACACGAAGCCCCCGAGGGUCGUUUUUAAUCCUUUGGGGAGGGGUUUGAAGCCACAGAGGUGCCCCAGAUGCCACCAAGGUGUCCCCAGAUGUCCCCAGGUGCCACCCAGAUGUCCCCAGAUGCCACCCAGGUGUCCCCAGGCACCCCCGAGUGCCACCAAUGUGUCCCCAGAAGCUACCAGGUGUCCCCAGAUGCCACUUGGAUGUCCCCAGGUGCCACCCAGAUGUCCCCAGAUGCCACUCGGAUGUCCUCAAGUGCCACCAAGGUGUCCCCAGAUGCCACCCAGGUGUCCCCAGAUGCCACUUGGAUGUCCCCAAGUGCCACCAAGGUGUCCUUAAGUGUUCCCAGGUGUCCCCAGAUGCCACCCAGGUGUCCCCAGAUGCCACCCAGGUGUCCCCAAGUGCCACCAAGGUGUCCCCAGAUGUCCCCAGACGCCACCCAGGUGUCCCCAAGUGUCCCCAGGUGUCCCCAAGUGCCACCAACCCCCCCAAAAUCCGCCUUUCUUGGGUUUCCCGAGGUGGCAGCUGGGGCGGUGCCACCCCCGAAGUGCCACCGGCCGUCCCCCGCGGUGUCACCCGCGGUGUCACUCGGGCCUCAGCCAUGUCCCCUGCUCCUCCACCUCCGGGGCCACCACCAGGAGCAGCUCCGACGUGUCCGGGGCCAGCGCUGUCCUCAGGAACUCCCUGGGGACAGAGGGGACAGUGAGGGGACAAUGAGGGGACAGUGAGGGGACAAUGAGGGGACAGAGAGGGGACAGAGAGGGGACAGAGAGGGGACAGCGAGGGGACAGAGAGGGGACAGUGAGGGGACAGUGAGGGGACAGUGAGGGGACAGAGAGGGGACAGUGAGGGGACAGUGAGGGGACAGUGAGGGGACAUUGAGGGGACAGUGAGGGGACAAUGAGGGGACAGUGAGGGGACAGUGAGGGGACAAUGAGGGGACAGUGAGGGGACAAUGAGGGGACAAUGAGGGGACAGUGAGGGGACAAUGAGGGGACAGUGAGGGGA
rnacentral:lncRNA from 1 species